rnacentral:misc_RNA from 1 species
CGAGAAAUUAAUAAAGAGACAAAAGGUGAAAAAGAUGUUAAAAAUCCAUUAUACAAGCGGCACACAAAUUGCAGCAAAACAUUAUUUUAUUAUUACAACACUAUAAAACUCAUCAAGAAACAUUCAUGAAACCCCACAAAGCUAAAAUCCCUCAACCCCCAAAAACUGCUGAAGUAAAGCACGCUAACAAGCAAAUGUGAAUAUGGUAAAUAAAUACAAGUCAAUUUUGAAUUUCAGCUGCAAAACCCUCAGAAGAUCGAUUAACUGGAAUAAAGGAUGAAGGUGGUUUGGUUACUGCAAAUAGAAUAUCUGCAUAACCAACCACGCCAACCAAAACAUCAUCACCAUCAUCUUCAGUCACCCAUACAUGGGUUGCCCUGUGAGACAGCAUCUGAGCCAUAACUGCAGCCAACGAACUCGUAAUUUUACAUGUUAGGGGUGCACUUCUUCCCCUAUACAUGCUCCUGCCAAUUCCAAAACUUGAGCUUCCUGGAUUGAACCCGAUGCUCCUGCUGCUGAAUUUCCUUGUUCUUGUUGAUCCACCACCAUUAACCAUAUUAUUCUCCCCACCUGUUGAGUUAACUGUAAAGUCGGGAAAUGACCUUACAGUCAAAUUGUCCUCAACCCCCAUCACAAACUGCCCUGCUGAAAGAUUGGCUAGAGCCCAUGCCGCAGCCAAAUAAUCACAUUUCCAUAAUCUGGAGGCUGAUAUUUCCCCUAUAAUCUUAAAACGGCCAUCUGAGAUGGGCUCCACAACAGCAAUGGCUGCAGGGUCUUUGGGCAGCUUUUGUGUAGCUUCGAUGGCUGGAAAAGAGGCCUCAACUGAAUAGUAGUUCAAGUUAAUGGCUCCAACAGAAGAAAUGGAUGAAAGAGGGAGUGGAGCUAGAGCACCAAGGCAACCAAUCAGAAAACGGAUGACAUCUUCUCUAGAGAGACAGCAGAACUUGUCACGGCUGGAACUAGGGGUAGAUGAGGAAGGGCGACUGGUGUUGAUGGUGAGGUUAUUGCUGCUGCUGUUGCUGGAAUCAACAUUCUUGAGCCACUUACCAUUGUAGAGGAUUGAGAAUCGUUUGCUCAUGCCUUUCCAUACUGUGCCUUUGGUGACUAGAAGACGCUUUACACCUUGCUUCAUCAUCUCCAGUGCAUCAAUCAAUCUGUUAGAAACACCAAAUGUUAUCACUUUCUGGCCAACAUGUAUCAUGAAUUAUAGUUGUAUUUAGUGUCAUAUCUCAUCACAAAGCAUUUUAAAAAUCUCACACUUAAUGAGGAACUUUCUUCCCUCAAAUAAUAUAUCAUGAAUUAAAACAAACAUUCAAACAUAAGAAGUAAUCUGAAAGAAUCCUGUGGCCUUGAAGGAUAGGGGGAUGCUUGAAUAAAUAAUUAAUGUCAAAGCCCAAUGACAAAUAUAUUAUUCACUCAAGAUUUUUAGAAAAGAAAAAUAGUUAUUACAGCUCAAUUCUAAGACUAGAAAAGAAGGAGAAAGUAUUUACUAUUUUGUAAAGAAAAGAAUUCAAAACAUCCUAAAUCAGCCAUAAAGCCAUAUACAUAUUCCUUUCUGGGGAAUGCCCACAUCAAAUAAGACCCAGCCAGCAUCUGUCCAAGUCUAGUGCUAAUUCCAAGAUUACAUGCGUGUAAGUAAAACAGUAAAACACACAAAACAAUGCGAGCCAAAUGAACAUAUCGGACUCUCCAUAACCUCACCCUUCAUCUGUUUCACCACAUGGAUGUUAAUUGCGGCCUCUGCAUCCUCUAUUUAAUUCACUUUUUUUGCAACUGUUGAUUCUCACAUGACAACAUGGUUUCAGAUGGUAGACAUAACAGCCAUCGACUGUAAAGUGUAAACAAAAGGGGCCCUUUGUUUUUCAAUUGCACUGGUUAUUGAAGUUGAUUAGUAAAUAAAGGAUAAAGCAUGGAUUCAAUGUCUUUUAUCUGAUGUAUGAAGAUCAUCAGUUGCAUUUCCUAAAUUUUAGUCAACUUCAAGAACAUAAAUGCAUUUUAAAAAAAAAAAAAGAUCCAGUGACAGGCCACAACUGUCAUGUUACCACUGCAACAGCCCUGUUUCUAUUACCCAAGACUGUGACAAUAAUAUAUAUAAUGGUUGGUCCACGCCCAUGGCUCACCCACUAGGUCCCUUCUUUGAAGGCCUCUGUUAUUUCUCCAAAUUAAUUGCAGCAUUGAACCUCAACCUGAAUUGAUUGCUAGGGAGAAUAGUAGUUUUUAGGGGUCAUUGCUGCAGAGAUUUGCCACCAUGAGGUGAACAAAAACCACCACUUAAAUGGGUUUGUGUUUGAUCCAUACAAUGUUAAAACAAGACACUGGAGGUGAGUAAUACAUUUGCAUUGUGAGAGAGUAGAGUGAGAAGGUUUUUUUGAUGAAUUGGGUAUUCCAAUAUGGAGGGCAAAAAGAAAACAAUUGGGCUUAUGUAAUUCUUAGAAAAAUCAGAGAUAAAAAAGGAAGCACAGGCAAAGUUAUUUCACUUGUCUAUAUGGUGGUUACACUAGCCUUACUGUUACAAGAACAAGUUGUGAAGUCACACUCGAAAGCAAAGGAUGUGGCUAUCAUUUCCCAAAACAGGAGAGGAGAGCACUAAUGGGCAAACCCCUCCUAAUUGCAAUUUAUCCAAUAUAUUAUUAAUAUGUGUACAAAAUAUAUAAAUGAGAGAAAAAUAAUAAAAUCAUGCAACUUGACAAGACUCUUUAAUAAGCAGCUAAAUCCACAUCUCUUCUGUGGGGGAAGAAACAAAAGAUAGUGAAAUAUAGAUUCAAAGAGGGAUUUAGAGGAAUAUGGGCCAACAGAAUCCACCAAACAAAGUAGCUACUUUCAAUACUUGAAUUCCAAAAAUUCACCAUUGGCAGACAAUAGCAUUUCAUGAAAAACUUGCAAUAAUUGCUAGGCUAUCGUUUAUCAAGUAGGAAAACAAAUAGCAUAACCAUAAGCAUUAUUAUACACCAGCAAACCAAAAGAACCACGAGAAUCACAUCAAUCUGUCAGCACGUGGAAUUGAAUUAAAUUACUUACAUUUUACUUUCCAUAUAAAUCAUGAAUGAAUCUAUAAUCCAUCUUCAUGAACAAGGAAAAUCAACGUUUUCACAAAUUCUCAGAGCAGCAUCAUAAACUAUAGUAAAUCAAAAUAAUCCAAGUAUUUGAAUCCUAUAAGAUACCAGUAGCUAGCUACGAUAGAUAGCAAGAACAACAAAUCAGUAAAACGUGUCCUCAAAGCACCAAAUCCAUGCAAUUAUUAUACUGACUUAUCAGAAAACGCACAUCACCGUCACAAAUCUAAACAAUAUAAGUUACAAAAUUUGGGAGCUAACCUUGUUGCUGGAUCAACCUGUUUCAAUAGAGAGUUAUCAGGAACAACUACCUCAGAAACCGGGGUCUUCAUGGCCUUCUCCUGAUCCUCCAAGCUCUGAGCUCUAGCCAAAAACGCCACAAUAUCGAGAGAUUUAAGGAUACCCACAAACCUCUGCUGCCUCAUUUCGUUAUUCUCAAUCAUGGCCACGUGCGAUCUCCUCUUCCACACCGGAAUACCACACUCCGUUGACUCUCCAAUUGCCCGAAUCGCCGAUUCCACCGUCUCAGUCUCGCAGAAUUCCACCAUUUCCGGCUUUCCCACCGUCAGAUCCCCCACGACAUGGUAUAGAAACACCGACGCCAUCCAAAUUAACUGUUAAAACACAAUUGGAUAUCUUAAACAAUUCUUGAAUUAUUGCUGAAUAUCCGUUCCACCUUUUUCAACCAAACAGAAUCUGGGAAAAUCACUUUGUAAUAAACGGUAGAUAUAUAAAAUUUUGUGUGUCGCACCUUGGGAUUUUCUAUUUUGUCUGGUAAUGAGGAGUCUAUAUAAAAGGCGUCUCCUUUUUUCUCUUAUCCUCCAGAAAAUUGGAAAAUGGAGUCUGUAUGACAGUUUUUCUAUGGAAACAAUCAGAAAGAAAGAGAGUAUCAAAGUUACCGGGAUAACCGGUGAGGAAAGCGGAAGCUAUAACAGAGAGUGAAGGAAGAUGAGGAGCAGGUGAAGUCCGGUAAUGGGUAAACGAUGAAGAAUAAGAAGAAGAAGAAGAUUGGUGCUAGUGUUGAUAGGAAAGGAUAAAGAGAAGAAGAGAGAUUUGGCCAUUGAAGAACAACAGAAGAUGAAGGCCCAUGAAAUAUACUUCUUUCUCUAUCUCCCUCUCUCCGUGGAUCACUGCUCCGUCGCUCGUAGGUCGCAAAAGGCGUGAAAAUUAGACUCCCUUUACAGAGAAAGGGAAUAGAUUUUUU